rnacentral:lncRNA from 1 species
GGUGUAAGUGUGGGUUUUUAAAAUUACUGAAUUUAAGUAUAAUUUCGACCUUAUAUUUUAGGUUGGUCUAUGGCUAUUCAUUCAUUGGAUCCAAAAGGACCUAUUAUUAUGGAUUGAAUUGAUCAUGGAUGUUGAGAGUUUGAAUUAACCAGGGAUAUUUAUCCCGUGUUUGGUUGGGGUUAUGAGAGGAUGGGUGGAUA